UACGUAGGGGGCUAGCGUUGUCCGGAAUCAUUGGGCGUAAAGCGCGUGUAGGCGGUCCGGUAAGUCCGCUGUGAAAGUCGGGGGCUCAACCCUCGGAUGCCGGUGGAUACUGUCGGGCUUGAGUACGGAAGAGGCGAGUGGAAUUCCUGGUGUAGCGGUGAAAUGCGCAGAUAUCAGGAGGAACACCAAUGGCGAAGGCAGCUCACUGGGACGAUACUGACGCUGAGACGCGAAAGCGUGGGGAGCAAACAGG
rnacentral:rRNA from 1 species